UGAUAUUCAAAUCCCCUUAAUUUUCAUCUGAUCUUCAAACCCUUAAUUUUGAUCUUUCAGUCAGCAUUUCUACUUUAUACAAUCUCAUUUCAAAUAGUUUCCAUUCAAAUCUCUUUCUCUCUCUUUCUGUUAAUUUUCAAGCACCGGAGCUUUGGCCCUCUCUGUUCCUGCUGUCUGAUUUCUCUUCGUCUAAUAAUAUUUUGCUUGUGCUUUAUUUUCUUUUCAGUUGCGCUGUUAUUUAUAUUGUUUCCUAUUCUUUUCGUUUCUGUUCUUGUUUUCUUCUCGUAACCAUGGAUGCAGGAUCUUUGAGUUCUUCUGGAGCCCUCAAAGAUCGGAUGACGCUAUCCUCUUCGAGAACAGUUUAUUCAAAGAAAGAGUUCCCAAAAAAAUUGAUGCUAAUUUAGUGAGGGAUGAGUAUUUAAGGUUCAACAUGGAUGAACAAGGAUGGGUUCCAAUUUCUUUGAUUGCAAGCUUCCUCGUGUGAUUAAUGAUUGUUUUGGUUUUGCGGGGCCAUUGCUUCUCAAUAAACUGAUCCAGUUUCUUCAACAAGGUUCCGUGAAUGUGGAUGGGUAUUUACUUGCAUUAUCCUUGGGCUCACCUCUAUAAUUAAAAAGAAAAGAACGUUACUCUGUUUCGCUCCAUUGCUCUCUGUUGCGCUCCAUUGCUCUCUUGCUCUAUUGCUCAAGAAGUUGGAUCUUGGAAAUCGAGAACCAUGAACGAUCAAUCCAUUCAAAUCCAAAUGCUCGCUGAAAAAUUCCACCGCUUUGUUCUUGACUACGUUCCUUCUGAGCUAGAUGAUGUAUCGAAGCAAGUGAACGAGAAUUCAGACUCCAUGGAUGAAAACACUAUGUCACAGGGAAUCCACGAAUUUUCUCCGGAUAAGGGUCACACACUUCCCAUAUUGAAGAAAAUACUUGAUCUCGACACUAAAAUUCAGAUCAAUCCAUUCAAAUUCAAAUGCUCGCUGAAAAAUUCCACCGCUUUGUUCUUGACUACGUUCCUUCUGAGCCAGAUGAUGUAUCGAAGUCAGUGAACGAGAACUCAGACUCCAUGGAUGAAAACACUAUGUCACAGGGAAUCCACGAAGUUUCUCCGGAUAAGGGUCACACACUUCCCAUAUUGAAGAACUUGAUCUCGACACUAAAAUUCAGGAUUUGAAGAAGCAUCAUAUAGCACUGUGACGAAGUGAAGCUCACGGUUGAAUCUUUUCCGGGCACUGAUGUUUUGAAGUCCGUGCAGCUUCUCGGUAUGCUUCCACUGUCGCGGAAGUGCAUUUUCGUAGACCUUGCCAAGCCGAGGUAUCUGUUUAUGUCCUCCUACGAACAGAGGGUGCAACCCUUUGAUAUAAGAUAUCAGUACCUUCUGCUGCAGCUGAACCGUAUGAAAUAAUUGCUUUCAAGGUAUUUUCUUACUUUUGUUUGUGUGUUUUAACGUUAAAUUAAACUACGUAAACUUGUGCCCGUAGAUAACCAAACACAGGUCGAUUCAAGAGAAUCCAAGUCAUUUCACUUUAAUUAUUUGCCCUUGUAACUAACAGCAGCAGAACUAAAUUGGUAAUUUCCUGUCUUCUUUUUUGCUUUCGUUUAUUGAUGUCUUUUGUUUAUGCGGCGUGCAUGAGUGAUUUUUGAUGUCCACCAUUUGUUAAUGAUGACGUCAAUUGAUACUUUGUAUUCAUUUACUGUGUUACCACCAUCAACAUUAUAAGGUGACUGAUUAAUGGUUUUACAUUGCUUUUAUGACUGUUUCAAACCAAUAAUUAGAAGUCGAGACUUUAGUACUUACUCUUAUUUAGUCGGAAGCUUCAAGAGAUAUAAUAGUUUUUCUUUAUUUUGUUACUUAGUGAGAUUCUUAGUUAUUUGUUGUUUUUAGAUAUUGACCCUUGUCUUAGCUUUGUUUUAUAGUCUUAGACUUGUUUAGAUAUGUUUCCAAGUGCUGUACAGAUUUUGCAUGGUUACUUGUCUACUUCUUAGUUCUUGAUUGUGAAUGACCUUUUGAGUUUCUAAUUUAAGUUGAUAGUUUCUAGUCAGUUUUACAACUUCUUUCAAUAGAAUUGAAUAGUUUUUACAUGAAAAGUCAGUUUUUAACCAGUUUUGACAAGAUUUUACCUACUGUGAGAUUUGAGAUUUACUUUCUUUCAUUGUGUGAUGCAUUCAUGUUUAUUUACAUUUUCAGAACUUGUAUUGUUCCUCUUCGAACUCUGACAGUUAGAUUUGCACUCUAGAGAUGAUAUUAGGCCAUGUUUGUUUCUCGUCAGCUAGCCAAAUAAAGCUCACCCUGAACUUAUCUCAUUUGCACCUGAAUUUUGUGCCUGAUUUACCUUUUUUUGUUCAUUUUAAGCUCAAUACAAGCCUUAGACCAGAAACACCAUGAAAAUGCCCAAAUCUUAGAGUUGUGAGAUGGUUUAGGAAGUGUGUAAGGAAUAUGUAAAGUUCAAGUGUGGGGAUCUGAAAAAUCUGAAGGUGUGGUCUGUUUUGACUUGGAAGAGAAAGGAGAGUGAAAAAAGAAAGAAAAGUAGAAAAAAAAUAAAGGAAAAAAAAAGAAAAAAAAAGUGAAAAAGAAUAAGAAAUAUAGAAGGAAGUGAGUAAUAAAAUAUAUGAAAGAAGUUGGAAAAGAAAGGAGAAUUAAAAAAAAAGAAUGAAAAGUGGAAAAUAUGUGAAAGAAAGGAAGGAAGUGAUGAACAGAGGUGGUGAAAGAGUUGAUGAUUCCAUGCACUUGAAUUCCACAUUUUCCACCUAGGUCUAUCUCACUUCUCUUUGAUUUUAGCUUUGAUUUUUUUCCUCUUUUUACCUCACCUAUACCUUGGCCACAUUACAAGCCUUGAUUGAAGUCCUAUUGAUCUUGAGUGCAUUUCUAAUUUGAUUGGUGUGAUUAGAAGCUUUCCAAGUUUAUGAUAAUUUGAAUUUGCAUAAUGUGCUGAGAGUUAAACACCUAGACUGAAACACUUGAGUGAAGAGAUGUAAACACUACCUUGGUGAGGUCAAUUCUGGUUUAGAUGCUGAUUUUGAUUGUUUGCUAUUUGGUUUUAUUGAUUAGAGUUGUUUUUUUCUGGGUGGAGAGCUUGAACCUUAAAUUAGUUGAUUCUUUUGUCAUUUACAGUUUUGAACUAGGAAGGUAGAUUGGUUUUCCUAUGCAGAAUUGUGAGCAGAUAUUUUAGUCCGGUUUUAGUUUGUUGGUAUAUAUUUUUUGUUUUUUAUGUUUGCCCUAGAAUGCAAAGGUUUUAAGCUUGGGCUAUGACCAGUCUCUAAUUGUUCAUAUUUUUCUAGACUAAUUGUAUGGGUUGUGUUUAAUGCCUAAUUUCUUGCUUUUAGGACAAAGUUGGUUUAUAGAGUAAACUUCUACUGAUUUUAUUUUAUUUUUCUAUGCAGAAUUGUGAGCAGAUAUUUUAAUCCAGUUUUGUGUAGAGUUUAACAUAUUUGAUUGCUUAUUAUUCACUCGUAUUUGUAUGUAGAUAAAUAUUAUUUUGUUCACAACGCGUGGCAACAGUGUAUGAAAUUCUUCCAGAUCAUGUUACUAAGAGAACAAGACCAAUGGGAAUAUCAUAUGAGGUAAGCUGGUUUGAUUUAUUGAAACAUCGUAUAUAAUCUUAGAACUCAUUAUUAGUUACAUGUAUUAACUAUUCAUGCUGGAAAUUGACUAAAUUUUGUUUUCUUGAUGCAAUCUGUUUGUUGGCACGAAUGUGGGGGACAUUGCUUUGUGGGAACUGGGCUCCAAUGAGCGGUUGUUGAUAAGGAACUUGAAAGUGUGGGAUCUUAUUGCUUGUUCAAUGCUCUUUCAGAGGAGAUAGUUGAAGUUGAGUUGAGGAAAGAGGGAAAAGUUGAAAUUGGAGUGUAUAAGAAUUAUGCUGUCUUUACUGGCUGGUUCAUGACAGUCAUUAUAUGCCUAUCAGCUAUUCUGAUGCAAGCUUCUCAUAAUGGAAACGAUUUAUGGUUAUCAUAUUGGGUUGAUACAACAACAGAAAGCAGUCAGACAAUGGAUUCGUAAGACAGGAGAACUUUUGACUUAUAUUCGCACUUUGAAGAUGUAUGGAUGGGAACUUUUUUCUAGUUGGUUGAUGGAUACAAGAUCUUUGGAAGUCAAACACUUAGCUACUAGAAAGUUCUUGGAUGCGUGGUGUGUUUUCUUUUGGGCUACAACACAAACACUCUUCUCCCUUUUCACAUUUGGACUCUAUGCACUAAUGGGACAUCAACUUGAUGUUGCAAUGGUUUUCACUUGUCUUGCAUUGUUCAACACCCUUAUUUCAACAAUAAAUUCAUUCCCUUGGGUAAUUAAUGGAUUGAUUGAUGCAACAACCUGAUUCUGUUAAAGGUUUGGGUGUAUUUAUCCAAGAUGCAUGUUGUACUUGGUCAAGAAGUGAGGAACAAGCAUUAAAUAUGGAGAGGUUGGUUCAGGUAAAUCGUCCCUGUUAUAUUCAGUCCUUGGAGAAAUGCAGCUUGUUCGUGGCUCUGUUUAUUCCAAUGAAUCCACUGCUUAUGUACCACAGCAGGUCCCUUGGAUUUUAUCUGGAACGGUGUGCGACAACAUAUUAUUCGGGAAAAGUUAUGAUCCUGAAAGGUAUACUGAUACACUGAAGGCAUGUGCAUUAGAUGUUGAUAUCUCAUUGAUGAUUGGAGGUGACAUGGCUUAUAUUGGAGAGAAAGGAGUCAACUUAUCGAGUGGACAGAGAGCUCGUCUUGCUUUGGCGAGGGCAUUGUAUCAUGACUCAGCUGUUGUUAUGCUUGAUGAUGUCCUGAGUGCAGAAGAUGUACAAGUUGCUCAAUGUAUCUUAUACAAUGCCAUUCUAGGCCCCCUUAUGCAGAGAAAAACCCGAUUGCUCUGUACUCUUAAUAUUCAGGCAACAGCCUGAUUCUGUUCAAGGUUUGGGUGUAUUUAUCCAAGAUGCAUGUUGUACUUGGUCAAGUAGUGAGGAACAGGCAUUAAAUAUGGUGUUGAAUCAUGUGACUCUAAGUGUGUCCCAGGGUUCCUUUGUUGCAGUUAUUGGAAAGGUUGGUUCAGGUAAAUCAUCCCUGUUAUAUUCAAUCCUUGGAGAAAUGCAGCUUGUUCGUGGCUCUGUUUAUUCCAAUGAAUCCACUGCUUAUGUACCACAGUGUGCAACAACAUAUUAUUCGGGAAAAGUUAUGAUCCUCUGAAAGGUAUACUGAUACACUGAAGGCAUGUGCAUUAGAUGUUGAUAUCUCAUUGAUGAUUGGAGGUGACAUGGCUUAUAUUGGAGAGAAAGGAGUCAACUUAUCGAGUGGACAGAGCUCGUCUUGCUUUGGGAAGGGCAUUGUAUCAUGACUCAGCUGUUGUUAUGCUUGAUGAUGUCCUGAGUGCAGUAGAUGUACAAGUUGCUCAAUGUAUCUUAUACAAUGCCAUUCUAGGCCCCCUUAUGCAGAGAAAAACCCGAUUGCUCUGUACUCUUAAUAUUCAGGCAAUAUCUUCUGCUUACAAGAUUGUUGUAAUGGACAAUGGACGCAUAAAAUGGAUAGGAAAUUUAGAUGACUUUCCAAUUAAUUCAUGUACACAAUUCUCUCCGCUGAAUGAAAUUGAUUCAGCUUUACAGAAUCAUGGAGAAUCUUGCAGCCCAAAUCUUUCUUCCAAAUCCGAGGAGCAGUGUCUCUUCUUGGCACAGGUAUUGUGCAUGCUCUGGAGGGAGCAGAGGAGAUAGUUGAAGUUGAGUUGAGGAAAGAGGGAAAAGUUGAAAUUGGAGUGUAUAAGAAUUAUGCUGUCU